UCAUCGUGACACCUGCGGGCGUUUUCGAAGUCGUCGAAAUUAAAAUAUUCCAAUAAUAAAUAAUAUUGGCUAAAUUAGAUACAAUACAAGUCAAACAACAAACUUGUCGACAAUUCAACGAGUUCCAAGGACCCGCACACAAUUUGGGAUGGUUUAUUAUCACCUAGCUAUAUGAUACUGACUUUCCCAUUUAUAUAGUAGCAGUGUGGAUGAAUAUGGAUAUAAUCCGCCAUACUGAAUUUAUAAUCACGUCACAUACUUAUCUAUGUGGCCCGCGGAAAAAGGUGUUUAAGAAUUAUGGUGGUAUAAAGAAACUUGACAUACAAACAUGAACACUGAAAACAUAACACCUUUUUGGACAGUCGAGUAAAAAUAACUCACCAAUAUUGGAGUACUCGGCAGUAAUGAAGUACCCUCCCUCCGGUAAGGUGGUAAGGAAGCCAUUAUCCUUCAAUAUCCUGUCCAGCACGUCACGCUUGGCUAACAGCUCCCGCGCCAGGGAGAACAUGUAGCACUCUGGCGUCUUCCAUCUGGACAGUUCGAACUCUAUGGCGCGCCCAACUGCUUCCUGCCAACGAGUGUUGUGAAAGAAUUUUAAAAUAUUUAAAAACUUUAUUGCACAAGAUUAAAAAUAAACGUUAACGUUAACAAACAUUAUGUACAAAAGUUGGACCUAACACCAUAUGACAUUCUAAAAAAAUAAAUGCACUUUACAAUUUUGAA